rnacentral:misc_RNA from 1 species
GAUGAAGAACGUAGCGAAAUGCGAUAAGUAGUGUGAAUUGCAGAAUUCAGUGAAUCAUCGAAUCUUUGAACGCACAUUGCGCCCCUUGGUAUUCCAUGGGGCAUGCCUGUUCGAGCGUCAUUUGUACCUUCAAGCUCUGCUUGGUGUUGGGUGAUUGUCUAUCUUUUUAGACUCGCCUUAAAGUCAUUGGCAGCCGGCAUAUUGGCCUGGGAGCGCAGCACAAGUCGCGCUUCUUGUCAUGAAUGUUGGCGUCCAGUAAGUCUACAUAUUUUGCUCUUGACCUCGGAUCAGGUAGGGAUACCCGCUGAACUUAAGCAUAUCAAUAGCGGAGGA